UACGUAGGGUCCGAGCGUUGCCCGGAAUUAUUGGGCGUAAAGAGCUCGUAGGCGGUCUGUUGCGUCGGUUGUGAAAACCUGGGGCUCAACUCCAGGCCUGCAAUCGAUACGGGCAGACUAGAGUUCGGUAGGGGAGACUGGAAUUCCUGGUGUAGCGGUGAAAUGCGCAGAUAUCAGGAGGAACACCAAUGGCGAAGGCAGCUCACUGGGACGAUACUGACGCUGAGACGCGAAAGCGUGGGGAGCAAACAGG
rnacentral:rRNA from 1 species